AGAAGAGGCGCCGCCAGGGAAAGCGAGUGAAGGGGUGGAAAAACAGCGGGUCUCGCGGAGCGGCUUCCAUGGCGCGACUGGAUGGUCUCAGGUGCUAAGCUGGAGUGCUGACUGUCUCACCUGGAUGGGCGACCAGAGGGCUACGGAAAAGCCAGCCAGCAGGAGAGCCUCCCUGACACUGAGCCGGAGAGCCUCAUUCUGAUGCAGCCCCAGACAGGAACAGUGGAUGAAGUUGUGACACUCCCAAUGAAAGCACAGGAGACCCACUUGGAGAGAUCAAUGGGAUCUUCUAGUCCAGAAACCCAAUGGUGACCUCAUACUACUUGCAACCGGUGUUGGGAGAAAUAAUGGACGCUGCUGCUUUCAAGAGUCUUUUUCCAAGUCGUAUUCAUGAAUCUCUGUCCUGAAUUAACUGAACAGCCACAAGCAGCCUUCCCACCUGUACUUUCCCAAUGCGUGGACUUCAGUUCCCAUAAUCCUCAGCCAUAGCUAUGCAGCUAGAAAAGGUUGGAUAAUUAUGCAGAUGCAAAACCCAGAGGUUUAGACAGGUUCAUGUUUCCCAAGGAGGAGUCAGGGGCUCAGUGGAUGCAACUGUUUAAUAUCUACAUGAAGCCACUGGGUGAGAUCAUUCGACAGCACGGGAUCAAAUACCAUCAA